CCUACGGUGGGCAGCAGUGAGGAAUAUUGGUCAAUGGGCGCGAGCCUGAACCAGCCAAGUCGCGUGAGGGAAGACGGUCCUAUGGAUUGUAAACUUCUUUUGUCGGGGAGCAAAAGACGCCACGCGUGCCGUUCCGAGUGUACCCGAAGAACAAGCAUCGGAUAACUCCGUGCCAGCAGCCGCGGUAAUACGGAGGAUGCGAGCGUUAUCCGGAUUUAUUGGGUUAAACGGGUGCGCGGGGUAAGAUCAAGGACGCGUGAAAAUUGAGAGGCUAAACCGCUUCGAGCCGUUGAAACUGGUUUUCUUGAGUGAGUGAGAGGGAUGCGGAAUGCGUGGUGUAGCGGUGAAAUGCAUAGAUAUCACGCAGAACUCCGAUUGCGAAGGCAGCAUACCGGCGCUCAACUGACGCUCAUGCACGAAAGUGUGGGUAUCGAACAGGAUUAGAUACCCGAGUAGUC
rnacentral:rRNA from 1 species